rnacentral:tRNA from 1 species
GACGAGGUGGCCGAGUGGUUAAGGCGUUGGACUGCUAAUCCAAUGGGGUCUCCCCGCGUGAGUUCGAAUCUCAUCCUUGUCG